rnacentral:rRNA from 1 species
AACGAACGCUGGCGGCAGGCUUAACAUGCAAGUCGUGGGGCAGCAUGAAUGUAGCAAUACAUUUGAUGGCGACCGGCAAACGGGUGCGGAACACGUACACAACCUUCCUAUAAGUGGGGAAUAGCCCAGAGAAAUUUGGCUUAAUACCCCGUAACAUAACGAUGUGGCAUCACAUUGCUAUUAUAGCUUCGGCGCUUAGUGAUGGGUGUGCGGCUGAUUAGAUAGUGGGCGGGGUAACGGCCCACCAAGUCUACGAUCAGUGGCUGAUGUGAGAGCAUGACCAGCUAAACGGGCACUAAGACACGGGCCCGAACCCUACGGGAGGCAGCAGUAAGGAAUAUUGGUCAAUGGACGCAAGUCUGACACAGCCAUGCCGCGUGAAGGAUUAAGGUCCUCUGGAUUGUAAACUUCUUUUGUCUGGGAAGAAAAAAGGCUUUUCUAAGUCACUUGACGGUACCAGAUGAAUAAGCACCGGCUAACUCCGUGCCAGCCGCCGCUGUAAAAC